AAACAAUGUCAAAAUUGUGUGACAUUUUUACCACAAGUUAAUCUUGGAGUCAAUCCUAGAGGACUGAUACCUAACCAUAUUUGGCAGAUGGACGUCACACACUUGCCAGAAUUUGGAAAAUUAAAAUAUUUGCAUGUUACAGUUGAUACUUCUUCCGGAUUUUUGAUGGGCUCCCUUCAUUCCGGAGAAAAAACUAAAGAUGUUAUAGCUCAUUGCUUACAAAAUUUUGCCACUGUGGGUGUUCCAAAACAGUUAAAAACAGAUAAUGGCCCUGG
rnacentral:lncRNA from 1 species